UACGUAGGGGGCUAGCGUUGUCCGGAAUCAUUGGGCGUAAAGCGCACGUAGGCGGUCCAGCAAGUCGGGUGUGAAAGCCCUCGGCUCAACCGAGGAAGUGCUUUCGAAACUACUGGGCUUGAAUACUGGAGAGGGUUGCGGAAUUCCCGGUGUAGAGGUGAAAUUCGUAGAUAUCGGGAGGAACACCAGUGGCGAAGGCGGCAACCUGGACAGAUAUUGACGCUGAUGUGCGAAAGCGUGGGGAGCAAACAGG
rnacentral:rRNA from 1 species